GAUGAACGCUGGCGGCGUGCCUAAUACAUGCAAGUCGAGCGAACAGACGAGGAGCUUGCUCCUCUGACGUUAGCGGCGGACGGGUGAGUAACACGUGGAUAACCUACCUAUAAGACUGGGAUAACUUCGGGAAACCGGAGCUAAUACCGGAUAAUAUAUUGAACCGCAUGGUUCAAUAGUGAAAGACGGUUUUGCUGUCACUUAUAGAUGGAUCCGCGCCGCAUUAGCUAGUUGGUAAGGUAACGGCUUACCAAGGCAACGAUGCGGAGCCGACCUGGGAGGGUGAGCGGCCACACUGGAACUGAGACACGGUCCAGACUCCUACGGGAGGCAGCAGUAGGGGAUCUUACGCAAGGGGCGAAAGCUUGACGGAGCAACGCCGCGUGAGUGAUGAAGGUCUUCGGAUCGUAAAACUCUGUUAUUAGGGAAGACCAAAUGUGUAAGUAACUAUGCACGUCUUGACGGUACCUAAUCAGAAAGCCACGGCUAACUACGUG
rnacentral:rRNA from 1 species